GUGUAUCGCCUCGAUACACAAGAAGCUCGACAUAGUAAGCCUUCCUAAAUGAAUUUGUAAAACAGCAAGUAAUGCAUCAAAUUGACAACACCCGUUGCUUUGUGUGAGAACUGAAACUGUCUGGAGGUUGGUUGUGGGAAGAAGUGUCUGCAGUACUGGUGACAGAGGAAGAGCAGCACUGCAGGAUUCCAGAGAGGAAUGGCCAUGGCAGGAGGGAAAAAUCCCUCGUUCCAGACGCAGCUUCACUUUAAACACAGUGACUUGUCUGAAAUAAAUGGAUACAGCUUUCCAGUCACCAGACACUAAAGAGGCAGCUUGAGCAGACUUUGUCCCCAAAACUACAGUUAGGGUAAGCAUACAGGAGAGCUCCAAAGAAAGGAGACUUCUCAGUGAGUGCCUUUGGAGAAGGAGGCUAUCCAGCGACUUACCGCCUAGGGAGACAGU